ACGGAGAGAGUCAGAGAUCCAGGCAGUGGGGAGCCUGAUAUGGCACUCGAUCCCAGGACCCCAGGAGCAAGACCUGAGCCGAAGGCAGAUGCUCAACCACUGAGCCACCCAGGUGCCCCUGGGCAUAGGGUCCUUGUAGAUAUAAGUAAUUAAGUUCAGAUAAGGUCAUACUGGAGCAGGGAGGGCCCUUAAUCAACCACUGCCUUCCUUGUAAGAAGAGGACAGAAGCACACAGGGGCAAGGUGGCCGUCUGUGGACUGACACAGAGAUUGGGGUGAUGCAUUUCCAAACUAGGGAACACCAAGACCUGCUGGCAAAUGCCAGAAAUCAGGAAGAGGCAAGGGAGUAUUCUCUUCAAGAGAUUUCAGAGGAAGCAUGGCCCUGUCUACACCUUGAUGUAGACUUCUGGCUCCCAGAACUGUCAGACAAUAAAUGUCUGUUGUUUUAAGCCAUUCAGUUCGUGAACACAUUGUUAUAUAACCCCUAAGAGACUAAUACACUUAAGCGGUGAUCGAAGUUAGCUAGAACGGUGAAACAAACAACAGCAGAAAUUUAAAAAUGAAGCAAGCAAACAAACAAAAACACAAGGACUUUUUUCUGACUUUGCAUCUCUAAAUGAGCGGUACGCAGCCUGGGCCGGCCUGCCACGCGUGUGCUUUGCAGGUUCUCUUCCUCCCAAGCAAGCUCCUGUGCUGUGGCUGCUUCCCCGCUCACCUCUACACGAACUUGACUUGAAAAGGUUUACUAAGCAAAUUAAUAAUGUAAAUGAGAAAGCAGCUAGCACCUUGCGUGAAGAAGCUUCGGUGAAGGCCUACUGCACAAUCAUUGUUUGCAUACAAAUGGAUGCUGCAGCUGAAAAUAAGUCUGUAAUGCUCAGGAAAGCAGGCCAGCAGGGCUGCUGACAGGGGACACUUUGGUACCCAUUCUGUUCCUUUUCUGCUAUUACACAAAUCUACAAAUAGCUUAUAGCUUACACUAGUAAGCUUACACUAGUUUUUAACACUAGGCUUUUCCUUUCCUUCUCACAACAAUCCCAGAUGGUGGGUGUUAGGAAAGUUCUAAUUUUACAGAUGAGGAAAUGGAUGCUUUGAGUGGUUGGGAAACUGGUCCCAGACUCAGAGAAAUGACAGGGUGGAGCCUUGAACCCAGAGCUUCGGCCUCCUGAUCUAGAGUGUGGCUGGAAGCUUCCUAAAAUACAAAAUAGAAUAUCUUUCUAAAAGUCCAUUGAUAAGCCCCUUAAUAUUAUCCAACCUUUAAUGGAUUGCUGAACACUGAGUGUUCCCUAGAACCUAUGAAGCAGAUCCUGUUCUUUGUAAAGAAACAGGUUCACAGAGGUUUUGUGACUUUUCUAAAACCGCAUAGUAGGUAGAUGGACCAGGAUUCAAAUCAGGCAAAAACCCAGCUCCCAUCCACUCAUAUCUUAAUCCGCCCUAGGGGUAGGGGUGGCUGUUAAAAGUCCAGAACCCUGACUCCACUGAGACUGCUGAAUCAGAAUUUCUGAAGGCAGACUCCGGAUUACAUUAGGUCCCUGGUGAUUCUGAGGUUGCUGUCCUCUAGGGGAUGCCAUUUGCCUCUGUAGUCUGGAUAAGGGCUCCUUUACUUCCCCUUCCUUAGAGUUCUUUGGUGGACUGUAAAGGUUCCCCAAAUAGCAUAUGCACCAGCUGUGUCUGUGAGGGUAUCUCCAGUUGGCUUCCACAGAGGUGUCACCUCCCACUGCCACCCCUAGGCAGCCAAGGGACUGAGGUAUCUUUCAGGGAGGGCAAAGAGCCCAAUGGGCCCCCUCAUUCUGGCAUUUUCAUUUAUCAUGCAAAUGAAAGGAUUUAAAUUAGGUCACAUCAGGGACUUGCAAAUAAAAACUGUGCCAGAGGGUUCUUGCACAGCCACAGGCGGGAGCUAUGCUGAGGGUUCUUCAUCUGCUUCUAUUUUUUAAUUUCCCAUCAAAUACAGGAGCUCCCAGUGCCAGGCUUCCCUGGCAUGAGGAAUGUCCACGGUCCAGAGCUUUGGGACCUGUAGUGUUGAUCUGUAGCCAGGCAGGCCUCUGCUUCUGGCUCUGCUGAAUCCAGGUAGGGAGCACUGAGUGCCGGUCCUGUGGGCUCAGUGAAAAGAACUGCCCAGGCUUUAGAGUCAGAGCCCACCUGGAUGAGGUCUAAUGCACACUGGGCAGGGCGCUGCUCCAGGCCAGACACUUAUCUUCACAGAAUCCAUCUUCCAAGGGCCUCAUGCCUGGGCUCUGUCACUUAUAAACGAGGGAACAUCGGACGAGUCCCUUAGCCAUCUGAGCCCUUCUCACUGUGCCUUACUGACACUAG
rnacentral:lncRNA from 1 species